rfam:Olsenella sp. oral taxon 809 str. F0356 genomic scaffold supercont1.1, whole genome shotgun sequence.
GCGCGCCGGUGCCGUCUACGCCGGGACGCCGUCAUCUGUAGGUCCGCCCGCAACGGCACGGGGCGGAAGAGGCGAGAGGA